UCGCAGCGGUAACAGCAGAGUAGCUUGCUACUCUGCUGACGAGCGGCGGACGGGUGAGUAAUGCUUGGGAAUGUACCUUAUGGUGGGGGACCACCAUUUGAAACACAGAUGUGUAUAACCCCAUAAUAGAUGUUCUUCCCACCAAAGCGGAGCGACCUUCCUGCCUCCAUACCAUAAGAUCAGGCCCAAGUUAGCAUUAUCUAGUUGGUGAGGUAAUGGCUCACCAAGGCGACGAUCCCUAGCUGGUUUGAGAGGAUGAUCAGCCACACUGGGACUGAGACACGGCCCAGACUCCUACGGGAGGCAGCAGUGGGGAAUAUUGCACAAUGGGCGCAAGCCUGAUGCAGCCAUGCCGCGUGUGUGAAGAAGGCCUUCGGGUUGUAAAGCACUUUCAGUAAGGAGGAAAGGUUGGAUGUUAAUAGCAUUCAGCUGUGACGUUACUUACAGAAGAAGCACCGGCUAACUCCGUGCCAGCAGCCGCGGUAAUACGGAGGGUGCGAGCGUUAAUCGGAAUUACUGGGCGUAAAGCGUACGCAGGCGGUUUGUUAAGCGAGAUGUGAAAGCCCCGGGCUCAACCUGGGAACUGCAUUUCGAACUGGCAAACUAGAGUGUGAUAGAGGGUGGUAGAAUUUCAGGUGUAGCGGUGAAAUGCCUAGAGCUCUGAAGGAAUACCGAUGGCGAAGUGCAGCCACCUGGGUCAUCACUGACGCCU
rnacentral:rRNA from 1 species